AUUGAACGCUGGCGGCAUGCUUUACACAUGCAAGUCGAACGGUAACAGGUUAAGCUGACGAGUGGCGAACGGGUGAGUAAUGCAUCGGAACGUGCCCGAUCGUGGGGGAUAACGCAGCGAAAGCUGCGCUAAUACCGCAUGCGAUCUGAGGAUGAAAGCGGGGGACCGUAAGGCCUCGCGCGAUCGGAGCGGCCGAUGUCAGAUUAGGUAGUUGGUGGGGUAAAGGCCCACCAAGCCGACGAUCUGUAGCUGGUCUGAGAGGACGACCAGCCACACUGUGACUGAGACACGGCCCAGACUCCUACGGGAGGCAGCAGUGGGGAAUUUUGGACAAUGGGCGAAAGCCUGAUUCAGCAAUGCCGCGUGCAGGAAGAAGGCCUUCGGGUUGUAAACUGCUUUUGUACGGAGCGAAAAGGUCCUUUCUAAUACAAGGGGCUCAUGACGGUACCGUAAGAAUAAGCACCGGCUAACUACGUGCCAGCAGCCGCCGUAAGAC
rnacentral:rRNA from 1 species